rnacentral:lncRNA from 1 species
GUAAGGAAUUAAUAUAUAUUGGUCGGAGCCUCCCCACCCCCUCGUAUCAUCGUCUCCAUUGCCCCAAAUCAAACCUGCGUAGCGCCACCUUGAGCCGCCGGCCGGAAAUCACCUCCGCCGGCGACGAUCCUCCUUUCCCGGCUAAAAAUACACCAUAGAACCCCCCUUACCCUCCUCUUUCCAACCACCAAGUAGUUUCACUCAAAUCCCGGCAAAAACAUUCGAAUCUUCAAUCUAAGUUUUCCGUCGAGGACAACACUUUUCCCAAACUCGCCCAAAUUUACACCCUAGGUCCCUCUCCCCUUCCUUUACCCAAAUUCCUGGCUAAUUUCCUACAAAUCUGCCCAGAAUGUCUCGAAUAAUUAAUCAAAGGCUGGCCAAAAACCCUAAUUUCUCUAAAAUUUACCAAAUUAGUAGUACAUAAUCUCUCCAUCCUCCGUGUGAAGAAUCUACCCUUGGCGAGUUUCAAGUAUGACCAAGACCGCUCAAUUUUGAAUCAAAGAAGCGGUAUAAAUAUUCGAGUCAAACCGUGAGACUUCGUUUUCGUCUUUUCAUGUUCCUUCUACUUCUUCUGACUGAGAUAAUGAAUACCACUCUUAAUUUUCUGAUUAGUGUUGCUUUUGUAUAAUUUCAGUACUGAUUUGAUUUUCUUUAGUUUAGUGUAAUUUUGGUCUGAUUGUUGUUUUGUUCUGUUAGUUUAAAUGUUAAAUGUCAGUCUAACUAGGUCAAGCAAUCAAUUGUUAGUUUAAUUAGACUUCCUGUUAAUGCCGGUGUAUUUGCUUUCUUCUGAUGAUAAUAAUCUUCUCGUUUGGUUGUAAUUUAUUUGGGAUUAGUUGAGGUUCUACUACUUGAUUCUAUGUUAGUUGUUAGUUUAGUGAUUGAUUGGAUUAAUCUUGAUUAAUCGAUGGUUUAGAGUAUUUAAACCUGUUUGGAUAAAGUUGAUAGUUUAAUUAUGGUAGAAAAGGGUUGGGUUCAGUUGGGACUAGGUUAGUAAAUAUUAAAAUAUUGAAAGGAUAAUUAGAGUAAUUCAAAGGUAGAGAAUCUUUUAAAAAACUGAUGGAAUUCAUUAGAACACUCUAGAAUAGGAUCUAAUUUAGGAUGUUAGGAAGUUUAAUGUACUAACUUGUGACACAAGUUAACAAUAAAAUGACCAAACUGAAAAUAGUAAGGGACUGAGAUGCAAACAGGAAAUUGAGGGUUGCCCAUUAGAUUUGCCGAUAUAAAGGCAGCCUUCACUAUCUUGUGGAACAAGUUUUUCAGCCUAAAAAUUCCCCCCAAAUACUCCUCAAUCUCACAUAUCAAAAAAGUCAAAAUUUCAGAUCCAAAUUCCUUUAGACUUUAGCUUUCUUCAAAAGAAAAACCAAAAACAAUGGAAAAUCUCCAAAAAAAUCCAAAAAACAAAUUGUUACAUUGAUAAAUUUUUAGAUUCCAACUCUUAACUCAACUGGUUAUCUCAUUUUAAUAUCAGAAGUAGCUCGGAUCUCUUGACUGAUUUUUAGUGAUCGAGUUUUUAAAAAAUUUGCAAGUAGUUUGGGGUUUUAUCAAGUUGUUAUUGGUAUUUCUAAGCGCUGAGGGUAUGCUGAAGCUUCUAAGCUCGUUUUUUCGAGUCUAUUUGGGUUAUUCAAGUUAUUUUGAUUAUUUUCCCUGUUUCAUCCAAAGUUCGAGUAUCUACUGGGCCUUAUUGGUAUUAUUGUCAAGCUGGUUAUUGCUGAUUUGUGUUGUUGCUGAGAGUUAAUUCAUGCUGCUAAUCUCUUCUUCUUCAUUAUAUUUUCAUAUCCAGGUACUCGCUUGAAUCAACUUAACUUCAAAAUUAGAAUGAAGUGAAGUAGAAUUGCAGACCUAUGUUCAUGUGAAUACCUGUAGUUUUACUCAUUAAUGGUUUAGUUUUAGUUUGUUUGGAACUGUGUUGAAUUGAAGCCACUACUGGACAUUUCGGACUGUUUAAUCUCUGGUUAUUCAGUAUUAGCUUUAGCAUAGUAGAUAUUUCCUGAUUCUAUUAGCAUUGUUAUAUUAAAAACUAAAAAUAAAAAUUAUUUUGGACAAGUCUGUAUUGCAGUAGUUAACAGAUACUGAUGGAUAGAUAAUAGCUUAUUCUAUUUAUUAUAGUUGUUAUCUAGUCAGUUGUGAAUAAAGUGAGUCCAGGUUAUUAGAUUGUUUAUCUUAGUGAGGUAAUCAUGUGCUUAGUCUAAUCAUUUGAUUUUCACUUUUGCCAUACAAUUAGUUGUGAAAAUUGCUUAACAUGUUCCCGUUAUUAUUAAUGAAGUAAUUAAAAUUGCCUAGUUUAAUCAUUUACAUUCACCAUUAGUAGUAUUUAAUAGUUCACCUAUAGGCAAACUCUUGUUAAUAUAAACAAGUAAUGCAUUGCUCUUCCUUAUCUCCACUUAGUGAAUGCACAUUUAGAAUAAUUUGAAAUGAAUAUAGCAUAUCUUUGUCUUUGAUUGAGUUUACUUAUCAUUUGACUUUAAUGGACAGGGCUGUUGAUAGCCCAGUCUCCGAGAGUAUGGCCUCAAUUUGGGAAAAGCUCAUGACUUAUCUGGCUUAGGGAUUCGAUCCCUCAACCUCUCUCACGAGGUCUAACCAGCCUUGUUUGAUUUGGGUUUGUCUCAGGCUCGAUAUUUGUUUUAUGUGGAACUUUUGUUUGUUAUACAG